rnacentral:rRNA from 1 species
GCUGGCGGCGUGCCUACACAUGCAUGUCGAGCGAGAAAGCUCCUUCGGGAGCAAGUAAAGCGGCAAACGGGUGAGUAACGCGUGGGAAUCUACCUUUCAGUGAGGAAUACCCUCGAGAAAUCGAGGUUAAUACUGCAUACGUCCCUCCGGGGAGAAAGGCGGCCUCUUUGCUGUCGCUGAAAGAUGAGCCUGCGUACUAUUAGCUAGUUGGUAGGGUAAUGGCCUACCAAGGCGAUGAUGGUUAGCCGGCCUGAGAGGGUGUACGGCCACACUGGAACUUAGACACGGUCCAGACUCCUACGGGAGGCAGCAGUGAGGAAUCUUGCUCAAUGGGCGAAAGCCUGAAGCAGCGACGCCGCGUGAAGGAUGACGGUCUUCGGAUUGUAAACUUCUGUUAAGUGGGAAGAAAUCUCUAUUUCUAAUACAAAUAGAGGAUGACGGUACCAUUAGAGAAAGCACUGGCUAAUCUCGAGCCAGCAGCCGCGGUAAUACGAGGGGUGCAAGCGUUAUUCGGAAUUAUUGGGCGUAAAGGGUGCGUAGACGGCACACUAAGUCAACUGUUAAAUCCCUCGGCCUAACCGAGGAUCAGCGGUAGAAACUGGUGAGCUUGAGGAUGAGAGAGAGAAGUGGAAUUCUCGGAGUAGCGGUAAAAUGCGUAGAUCUCGAGAGGAACACCGAUGGCGAAGGCAGCCUCUUGGCUCAUUCCUGACGUUGAGGCACGAAAGCGUGGGGAGCAAACAGGAUUAGAUACCCUGGUAGUCCACGCCGUAAACGAUGAUCACUGGACGUUAAUGUUGCUUUGCAAUAUUAGUGUCGUAGCUAACGCGAUAAGU